AACGAACGCUGGCGGCAGGCCUAACACAUGCAAGUCGAGCGGACCCUCCGGGGUUAGCGGCGGACGGGUGAGCAACGCGUGGGAACGUGCCCCUUGCUUCGGAAUAUCCCUGGGAAACUGGGAGCAAUACCGGAUAUGCUCUCUCGGGGAAAGGUUUAUGGGCGAAGGAGCGGCCGGAGUCGUUUCAGGUGGUUGGUGGGGUAAUGGGGUACCAAGGCAACGUUCCGUAACUGGUUUGGGAGGCUGGGCAGCCACACUGGGGCUGGGACACAGCCCGGAAUCCUAGACAAGGCAGCAGUGGGGAAUCUUAGACAAUGGGGGGAGCCAUGAUCGAGCCAUGCCGGGUGAGCGAUGAAGGCCGUAGAGUUGUAAAGCGCUUUCACCGGGGAAGAUGAUGACGGUACCCGAAGAAGAAGCCCCGGCUAACUCCGUG
rnacentral:rRNA from 1 species